CUUGAACGCUGGCGGCAGGCCUAACACAUGCAAGUCGAACGAGUGGCGGACGGGUGAGUAAUGUCUGGGAAACUGCCUGAUGGGGGGGGAUCACUACUGGAAACGGUAGCUAAUACCGCAUACCAUCAGAUGUGCCCAGAUGGGAUGAGCUUGUUGGUGGGGUAACGGCUCACAAAGGCGACGAUCCCUAGCUGGUCUGAUAGGAUGACAUGCCACACUGGAACUGCGACACGGUCCAGACUCCUACGGGAGGCAGCAGGGGUGAAUAUUGCACAAUUGGCGCAAGCCUGAUGCAGCCAUGCCGCGUGUAUGAAGAAGGCCUUCGGGUUGUAAAGUACUUUCAGCGGGGAGGCGUUACCCGCAGAAGAAGCACCGGCUAACUCCGUGCCAGCCGCCGCGGUAAUUC
rnacentral:rRNA from 1 species